rnacentral:rRNA from 1 species
CCUACGGGUGGCAGCAGUGAGGAAUAUUGGUCAAUGGGCUUACGCCUGAACCAGCCAAGUCGCGUGAGGGAAGACUGCCCUAUGGGUUGUAAACCUCUUUUGUCAGGGAGCAACGCCGGCUACGUGUAGCCGGACUGAGAGUACCUGAAGAAAAAGCAUCGGCUAACUCCGUUCCAGCAGCCGCGGUAAGACGGAGGAUUCGAGCGUUAUCCGGAUUUAUUGGGAUUAAUGGGUGCGUAGGCGGAAUGCCAAGUCAGCGGUAAAAUCGCGGGGCAAAAACUCGGUCCGCCGUUGAAACUGGCGUUCUUGAGAGGGCGAGGAGUAUGGGGAAUGCGUGGUGUAGCAGUGAAAUGCGUAGAUAUCA